CAGAAUUCUCACCUUGUUUUCUGGUGUGAAAUUAUGCUUGUCUUAACAUUUAUCUGCCUAUUCAUCCCGCUGCUUUAAAUAGAUAUAUUCAUGUAAAUUUAUGUAAAUUAUGAUAAUAUAAACUCUUCACGUCACCAAGAAUAAAUUACAUCUCCUCAAUCAGCAUCUAUUUCAGAGUAUUCCCUCAGUGAUACCUGCUGGGAAGCAACACACUCUGAUUGGCCUGUUUGGCGAACGCCCCGCCCCCCUCGAGCCACUCUGCGUUCUGAUUCGUCUGCCUGUUUAUCUCCACAGCUCAGUGUGGGAGUCGUGUUUUAAUUAGAGAACUGGGGAAAAGAGCUGUGAACAUGGCCGGCGCUGACCGGGCUCUUGGCAGAACGCCGGCAGGAAACUGAAUGGUCUCGCACUUAGCCAGUGAGUCACGCGGGACCGUCUCUCGCUCCCUUACAAGAGGCCUUGGAGUGGUUGCUGAGAGGUCCUUUAAGACCGUAGCCUUCGAUACAGUCGUGAAACACGCAGAGGAGUGAGACUCAGAAGUUCAGGGGCCACUUGAGCACCGGCCGUUGCGCCUGAGGAGGAUGCCAUGGAGACGCUGUCAUCGGGUGGGGGUCCCGGUGUGGUCAGGGAUGGAGGCUGCGAGCCAUCCAGGUGUGUGUCUCCAGGAUGGGGAUGUGGGCAACGGGUGAUCCACUAGGCCCAAAGGGGGCAUGGAGGAACUAGCAGAGGGGUCUUCAGGGUCAUAAGGGAGAGGGUAACCUCGACACAGCACCAGGGUGACACUCUGGCCAAUGGGGACAGACUGGAAAAGCUUC